UUAAGUUCAGCGGGUAGUCCUACCUGAUUUGAGAUCAAACAUUCAAAGGGUUGUCCUCACUUAGGAGAGACAUCUGUGAGCUCCAGCGAACCUCCACUGCUGAAGGUUAACUGGUGGAAAACCACAAGCGUAGAUACUUAUCACACCUGUGAUGCCCACCAAACACUGACAAGCUGAUUCAUUUUAGAGGAGCGACCCAU
rnacentral:misc_RNA from 1 species